rnacentral:tRNA from 1 species
GGUGNNNNGUCCGAGUGGCUGAAGGAGCACGCCUGGAAAGUGUGUAUACGGCAACGUAUCGAGGGUUCGAAUCCCUCCCUCACCGCCA